GUCUACGGCUAUGGCACCUUGAACAAGCCCAAUCCUGUCUGAUCUCGGAAACUAAGCAGAAUUGGGCCUGGUUAUUAUUUGGAUGGAGCCACCUAGGAAGACCAAGUGCUGUAGGUG
rnacentral:rRNA from 1 species